GGGGCUCUGGGGCCCUGGCGGGCGUCACUUCAAACGCACUUUCUGGUUGAGUCACUUUUUAACGGCUCCAGUGCUGUGAGCUGCUGCUGCUGCUGGGUCCCUGGCCUUGGGGGCCAACCCUCCCCCAUUUGACUGCUUAAUAGGCUCUGAAGGAAAGGGCUGGGGAGGCCAUCUGCUGCUGGAGAGACUCUGCGGGCCACCUGGCCACCCAGUUAGGCCCCUCUGCCCCCCAACCCACAAGCCUGGGCCAGAGGGUCCGCCCUGGGUCGCUCCCACUGCUUUUUCCAACGGGGUUGUGAGGGGAGAACAGGUCUUCACAGAAGACCUGUUCUUUGGGGACUUUGAAUUGAGCUCCCUCUGGGGAACAGAAACGGGGUGCCCGAUUUUCAGGAAGGUGAAACUUAACCUCGCUGAGUUUCCGGUUCCUCAUCUCUGAGAUGGGGAUACCAUCACUUACCUCACUGGGUCAGCAUGACGAUCAAGCGAGAUUCAGAUUGAGUGUGUUUCAUCAAGUUCUCUAGCUGCCUGGGCUGCCUCCCUUCCCUCGGCCCCGAGUGCAGAACGUGGAGGUGAACGGGAUGAAUCCAAG
rnacentral:lncRNA from 1 species